CUACAUAUCAUCUGGAGUCUUGUUCAAAUACAGGCUCUGACUAAGGAAUCUGGAAGGAACUGAGAUUCUGCAUUUCUAACAAGCCCCCAGAUGAUGCUCCU
rnacentral:miRNA from 1 species